CGGACGGGUGAGUAAUGUCUGGGAAACUGCCCGAUGGAGGGGGAUAACUACUGGAAACGGUAGCUAAUACCGCAUAACGUCGCAAGACCAAAGAGGGGGACCUUAGGGCCUCCUGCCAUCGGAUGUGCCCAGAUGGGAUUAGCUAGUAGGUGGGGUAAUGGCUCACCUAGGCGACGAUCCCUAGCUGGUCUGAGAGGAUGACCAGCCACACUGGAACUGAGACACGGUCCAG
rnacentral:rRNA from 1 species